rnacentral:lncRNA from 1 species
GGGACCCCUCAGAUACGUUCUUCUCUAAGCUCUAAACUCUAUCUCGAAAGUCUACCAAAAUUUUAUUUGAGCACUCCAUUUUUGUUGAAGCAGAGUACUGACUUGAGCAUCGGAGGGUCAUGCUGGAGCACCCUCAACUCCGGUUUAGACUUCCCUUGUAGGUCCCGAUGGCAGCCACGGUCAUCUCAACUCUAGCUUCUCCG